rnacentral:tRNA from 1 species
UGGUAGUUGAAUGGUUCACACCAUGGCUUUGAUAAUGAAGGGACGUGAGUUCCAUUCCCAGUG